rnacentral:pre_miRNA from 14 species
GGAGGUUGCAGAGUUUCCUUAGCAGAGCUGUGGAGUGUGACAAUGGUGUUUGUGUCCAAACUAUCAAACGCCAUUAUCACACUAAAUAGCUACUGCUAGGCCAUCCUUCUGCUCAGUA